rnacentral:rRNA from 1 species
AUUGAACGCUGGCGGCAUGCUUUACACAUGCAAGUCGAACGGCAGCGCGGGCUUCGGCCUGGCGGCGAGUGGCGAACGGGUGAGUAAUGCAUCGGAACGUGCCCAGUAGUGGGGGAUAGCCCGGCGAAAGCCGGAUUAAUACCGCAUACGACCUGAGGGUGAAAGCGGGGGACCGAAAGGCCUCGCGCUAUUGGAGCGGCCGAUGUCGGAUUAGCUAGUUGGUGGGGUAAAGGCUUACCAAGGCGACGAUCCGUAGCUGGUCUGAGAGGACGACCAGCCACACUGGGACUGAGACACGGCCCAGACUCCUACGGGAGGCCGCAGUGGGGAAUUUUGGACAAUGGGGGCAAACCUGAUCCAGCCAUGCCGCGUGCGGGAAGAAGGCCUUCGGGUUGUAAACCGCUUUUGUUCGGGAAGAAAUCCUCUGGGCUAAUACCCCGGGGGGAUGACGGUACCGGAAGAAUAAGCACCGGCUAACUACGUG